rnacentral:rRNA from 1 species
CAGUCGCCGCGGUAAUACGGAGGGCGCGAGCGUUACCCGGAUUUACUGGGCGUAAAGGGAGCGUAGGCGGACAUUUAAGUCAGGGGUGAAAUCCCGGGGCUCAACCUCGGAAUUGCCUUUGAUACUGGGUGUCUUGAGUAUGAGAGAGGUAUGUGGAACUCCGAGUGUAGAGGUGAAAUUCGUAGAUAUGCGGAGGAACACCGAUGGCGAAGGCAGCCCCCUGGGCCAACACUGACGCUCAUGCACGAAAGCGUGGGGAGCAAACAGGAUUAGAUACCCGGGUAGUCCCUGUCUCUUAUAC